UGGGGAAUAUUGGACAAUGGGCGCAAGCCUGAUCCAGCAAUGCCGCGUGGGUGAAGAAGGCCUUCGGGUUGUAAAGCCCUUUUGUACGGGAAGAAAUCCUGUCGGUUAAUACCCGGCGGGGAUGACGGUACCGUAAGAAUAAGCACCGGCUAACUUCGUGCCAGCAGCCGCGGUAAUACGAAGGGUGCAAGCGUUAAUCGGAAUUACUGGGCGUAAAGCGUGCGCAGGCGGUUAUGUAAGACAGAUGUGAAAUCCCCGGGCUCAACCUGGGAACUGCAUUUGUGACUGCAUAGCUAGAGUACGGUAGAGGGGGAUGGAAUUCCGCGUGUAGCAGUGAAAUGCGUAGAUAUGCGGAGGAACACCGAUGGCGAAGGCAAUCCCCUGGACCUGUACUGACGCUCAUGCACGAAAGCGUGGGGAGCAAA
rnacentral:rRNA from 1 species